UACGAAGGGGGCUAGCGUUGUUCGGACUCACUGGGCGUAAAGCGUACGUAGGCGGACCGUUAAGUCGGGGGUGAAAUCCUGGGGCUCAACCUCAGAACUGCCUUCGAUACUGGCGAUCUCGAGUCCGGGAGAGGUGAGUGGAACUCCUAGUGUAGAGGUGAAAUUCGUAGAUAUUAGGAAGAACACCAGUGGCGAAGGCGGCUCACUGGCCCGGUACUGACGCUGAGGUACGAAAGCGUGGGGAGCAAACAGG
rnacentral:rRNA from 1 species